UACCACGUGAUGACGUAGCUUCUUUCUUUAUUUCACCAUGGAAAAAAGAAAUUGGGCUUGAUGAUGCCGCUCACAAGCCCAUAUCAGGUUCUUUGGGCCAUCAGGGAAUUAAUGGGCCCAUCUCAAAAAUUAAAAAUCCAUUCCACGUCUAAAAUCCUAGCCGUUGGAUCAACAGCAACCAAUCCCUUAUAUUGAGGAGACCUCCGGUCUUUUUCGUUCCUGGAGCUAAAACCCUAGCUCGCUACGGAUUGGCGUCUCUUGAAUCUACACAAAGCGUUCCUUUACUGAUCUACUUUCGAAAAACAGUCGUUCUUGAAGCUUUUCCUUUCUUGAACACUUCAUUUGGUUUUCAAUUUCUUGCUUUAGAUUUAUAAUUGAAGAGAGGGCAAAUGACGAAUCAUAUGCCGAUACGUUGAAUGCUCAGACAUUUGAUUUGAGUAUUAUGAUUCUUAUUCUUUAAUAGGAAGAUCCGAUGCCUUGCUAAUUUUGCUUUAAUUUUUGCCUUUUUUUCUGGGUUUGUAAUUUAAUCGUGGAUUUCAGUCCUGAAGCCAUUGAUGACUCUUUGUAGUUCAAUCGAAAUGCAAGUCAACAAGCUUGCAUAAAUGUUGAAAUAAUUUUAUGAACUAGGACGGUCUGAGGCUUUUUCGUGUUUUGCUUUUCUUUAUUUACUAUUUUCUCUAAUUUGGGGAUGUCCUCUCGUUGGUCUAUACAGUGUUGUGUGUGAUGAGAAAUGUAAAUUAUCACACAGUUAUCCCUGUCUGAUACAUUUUUGUGCUGAUUACAUGUUAUCUGACACAAACACUGUUGGUUUUCAUCGCAAACUCUCAAAAGAAUUUUCCUUUUAAUGCUAUUGGUUUUGAUUAAAUUUUUAAAUUUAAUAAUAUUUGCAGGUUAGUAGUUUUUUUUUGGAUUUUGGUAAAUCUUAAUUUUUCUACUGUAAAUGAUAACCUAAAUAGAUUGGUUAAUUUCCCUUUGGACAAUUGUUUCUACUCUGGGCUCAGCUGCAGAAUGCUGGCUGCAAGUGAUUGUUGUUUAUGAUGCUACAGUUGGUCAGACCAGAUUGCUCCAGCAUACAUACUGUAUUAGGGGACUUGAAACAAUAAUAAGGUUUUGUGAUAGGAAUUCAGCUAAAGGCCUUUAGAAGAUGAGAUUCAUGGCCAAAAACAUUAAGAGUAUAUCACAGAAGAAAAAGGGAUGAACUAGGAAUGGGAAAUAGAGAUGAAAGUUUUGGACACAAGGGAACUUAUUCAGUUAAAGGGUUCUGCAGGGGCAGUGCCACAUGGAAUGGACCAACAGAAUGGUGGGAUGAGAGACCUGCGUUAACGGGAACUUGCAUAGCAGAAAAAAGUAGGGAAUUUUUAUUUUGAAGUCGGCUAUCUGCUUGGACUAGCUCUGCUAGUAUGGGAGUAGUCUCCGGGAUCUCUUGUUCGUUAUUUUCUUUGCUAUGAAUUAAGAAGGCGAGGGAGAUAGAUAAUUGUAUGGAGAAAGCUUAAUUGUAAACCGCUAUUUUGCCAUUCUCAUUGCAAUACAGUUUCAGUUAUUCAAAUUCA